rnacentral:lncRNA from 1 species
ACACCACAAAUUCACCCCUCCUUGCUGUGCAUUUCCCCCACUGCCUAAUCUGAUUCUCUAGGGUUUUUGGGGCCUAUAUAUACAUGUUUACAACCCUUGGCAAAGGGUUGAACCUCCCAUAUUCAUCAUUCAUGCAGAAAAUUCGUCCAUACUCACCUUAGGCAGCAAAACACCCCUAAAACACCAUUUUAGUGCCCAUAAAACAUAACAGCCACUCCACCUUAUUCCACCCUCUUUGCCGAGUUUUCCACCACCCUCCAACCAUCAAACACUCCUCCACACUCACCCUAAACCUUUCUAUAUCAUUCCUCAUCCAUUCUACACCAUAAAACUUCCCAAAACCUGUCCACAAACCAAUCUGCCGCAAGCAAGGGAAAGGAGAAUUCUUGGAUGCACUUGCUGCCAAGUUGGAGCAUUCUAGGUGUUUUCUUUCUUUGGAUUUUAAUGUCUAAUUCAUGUAAUCUUUGUUUUGCUUUAAGUAUGAUUGGCUAAUUUUGUUUUGGCUAAGGGUGUAUUCAAAACCAAGAUUAUAUAUGUGAAAUAAGUUGAUUACUUCCAGUUAUCGUUGCAUAAGUUGUGAAUACAAUUUGCUUAACCGUUGGAUUUAGAACUUAUUCUUGCAUGUUGAUUGAGAGUGCACGCUUGAUUUGCAUGUUUGAAUUUGGUGCUAGGAUAUAAAUUUGUUUCACCUAAUCGUUAUGAAUUUAUAUUCGCAAGUAGUGAAGGUCGCUAGUCACGAUCGUGUUAAGUAGAUUCCUGGCAAGAGUAUCAUGCUUUCCAUAGUUACAAAUGCCUUGUCGAUGCUUAUGAUUUCCAAAGAACGUAAUGAUUCUAACUUGUGUCUUUAUCAUGCUGUUCAUAUAGAGAACUUGUUGGGAAUAAUUUGUUUGCGAUGUAUAUUCAUCCGAUUCAAUGAUUCUAGGGAAAUCUGAAGGUUAAUUUAAGCUGACCUAAUUAACUUGGAGUGUCGAGGUUCAUAACUUAUUCAAUUGAUAACUGGAAAUCGAUUUAGGUUGCAUAU